CGCUUCUUUUCCCACCGGAGCUUGCUCCACCGGGAAAAGAGGAGUGGCGAACGGGUGAGUAACACGUGGGUAACCUGCCCAUCAGAAGGGGAUAACACUUGGAAACAGGUGCUAAUACCGUAUAACAAUCGAAACCGCAUGGUUUCGUUUUGAAAGGCGCUUUACGGUGCCGCUGAUGGAUGGACCCGCGGUGCAUUAGCUAGUUGGUGAGGUAACGGCUCACCAAGGCCACGAUGCAUAGCCGACCUGAGAGGGUGAUCGGCCACAUUGGGACUGAGACACGGCCCAAACUCCUACGGGAGGCAGCAGUAGGGAAUCUUCGGCAAUGGACGAAAGUCUGACCGAGCAACGCCGCGUGAGUGAAGAAGGUUUUCGGAUCGUAAAACUCUGUUGUUAGAGAAGAACAAGGGUGAGAGUAACUGUUCACCCCUUGACGGUAUCUAACCAGAAAGCCACGGCUAACUACGUGCCAGCAGCCGCGGUAAUACGUAGGUGGCAAGCGUUGUCCGGAUUUAUUGGGCGUAAAGCGAGCGCAGGCGGUUUCUUAAGUCUGAUGUGAAAGCCCCCGGCUCAACCGGGGAGGGUCAUUGGAAACUGGGAGACUUGAGUGCAGAAGAGGAGAGUGGAAUUCCAUGUGUAGCGGUGAAAUGCGUAGAUAUAUGGAGGAACACCAGUGGCGAAGGCGGCUCUCUGGUCUGUAACUGACGCUGAGGCUCGAAAGCGUGGGGAGCAAACAGGAUUAGAUACCCUGGUAGUCCACGCCGUAAACGAUGAGUGCUAAGUGUUGGAGGGUUUCCGCCCUUCAGUGCUGCAGCUAACGCAUUAAGCACUCCGCCUGGGGAGUACGACCGCAAGGUUGAAACUCAAAGGAAUUGACGGGGGCCCGCACAAGCGGUGGAGCAUGUGGUUUAAUUCGAAGCAACGCGAAGAACCUUACCAGGUCUUGACAUCCUUUGACCACUCUAGAGAUAGAGCUUCCCCUUCGGGGGCAAAGUGACAGGUGGUGCAUGGUUGUCGUCAGCUCGUGUCGUGAGAUGUUGGGUUAAGUCCCGCAACGAGCGCAACCCUUAUUGUUAGUUGCCAUCAUUUAGUUGGGCACUCUAGCAAGACUGCCGGUGACAAACCGGAGGAAGGUGGGGAUGACGUCAAAUCAUCAUGCCCCUUAUGACCUGGGCUACACACGUGCUACAAUGGGAAGUACAACGAGUCGCGAAGUCGCGAGGCUAAGCUAAUCUCUUAAAGCUUCUCUCAGUUCGGAUUGUAGGCUGCAACUCGCCUACAUGAAGCCGGAAUCGCUAGUAAUCGCGGAUCAGCACGCCGCGGUGAAUACGUUCCCGGGCCUUGUACACACCGCCCGUCACACCACGAGAGUUUGUAACACCCGAAGUCGGUGAGGUAACCUUU
rnacentral:rRNA from 1 species